GGUGUCUAAUACUGAAUACGAAACCAACCUGCAUGGGUAUGGUUUGGAAAGUUUUUCGGUUUGGGAUGGGCUCGCGGCCUAUCAGCUUGUUGGUGAGGUAAUGGCUCACCAAGGCGACAACGGGUAGCCGGCCUGAAAGGGCGACCGGCCACACUGGGACUGAAACACGGCCCAAACUCCUACGGGAGGCAGCAGUGGGGAAUAUUGCACAAUGGGCGAAAGCCUGAUGCACCGACGCCGCGUGAGGGAUGACGGCCUUCGGGUUGUAAACCUCUUUCAGCAGGGAAAAAGCGAAAGUGACGGUACCUGCAAAAAAAGCACCGGCUAACUACGUGCCAGCACCCGCGGUAAUACGUAGGGUGCGAGCGUUGUCCGGAAUUAUUGGGCGUAAAGAGCUUGUAGGCGGUUUGUCGCGUCUGCUGUGAAAAUCCGGGGCUCAACCCCGGACUUGCAGUGGGUACGGGCAAACUAAAGUGUGGUAGGGGAGACUGGAAUUCCUGGUGUAGCGGUGAAAUGCGCAAAUAUCAGGAGGAACACCGAUGGCGAAGGCAGGUCUCUGGGCCACUACUGACGCUGAGAAGCGAAAGCAUGGGGAGCGAACAGGAUUAGAUACCCUGGUAGUCCAUGCCGUAAACGUUGGGAACUAGGUGUGGGUCUCAUUCCACGAGAUCCGUGCCGCAGCUAACGCAUUAAGUUCCCCGGCCUGGGGAGUACGGCCGCAAGGCUAAAACUCAAAGGAAUUGACGGGGGCCCGCACAAGCGGCGGAGCAUGCGGUUUAUUUCGAUGCAACGCGAAGAACCUUACCAAGGCUUGACAUAUACCGGAAACUUCCAGAGAUGGUUGCCCCCUUUGGGUCGGUAUACAGGUGGGCAUGGUUGUCCUCA
rnacentral:rRNA from 1 species